GGGUAGCAUAGGUGGCGUUACUAGUACGCUGUUGAGGACCAACCGGCCAGUUGGUCCGCGCUACUUGGUUGAUUUCUGGACUUGUUGGAUGUAAGGUAGACAUCCACAGUGUUGGUGUGCACGCAGACACUGCGUUCACUCCACGCCCCCCCCCCUUCCGUCGUGCCCAAUCAUCUGAAGUUAUGGGCCUCGACGAUUUUGAUGUGAGUCGAGGGGGUCAUUCAUCUUUUGUUUGACCCGGCAUGGACCUAAACCUACACGCGGUGCCCCUGUUCUUGACUGAUUAGGUCUAUAACAUCAAGCUGAGUUUUCCAAAAUGGGUGAGAUAACUCUCAACAAUGGAUCUCUAGGCUCUUGCAUCGAUGAAGAACGCAGUGAACUGCGAUAACUGGUGUGAGUUGCAUGGCACUUCUAAUCUAACACCAAGCGAAUCAUCGAGUCUUUGAACGCAAACGGCACCCUUCCAGUCCAUUCCAAAGCGGUGGCGGAGGAUGAAGACAAGGGUAUCUCUGGCUGAGGGUAAUGAAAACUGAUCCAGUGUACCGACUGGUCACUGGGGAUUGGGCUUGCUUGGGGUAAUCAUUAAUUGCUCUGGCUUGCUUUAAAAUCAUGCGUUGUAUGGAUUGGACUUUCAAGCAUGCAUUGGGGACGCAGGCUCUGCGCUAUAAGGCAAGCCCUUGACCGUCAUAGGUGCUUUGAUUGGGGUCUUCAGUCUAGCCAACAAAGGCUGGGUUGGAACUUUGGGGCUGCAUUGGGGGCGUAGGGCAGCUCUGUUCGUGGCGUCCGAUGACCGUCAUGGUGCAUGAUUGGACUUCAACUAGCAAUUAUUGUUAUUAUUAUCAUUACUUAUGGGUUACCUCAGGUCAGAGAAGACUACCCGCUGGACUUAAGCAUAUCACUAAGCGGAGGAAAAGAAACUAACUAGGAUUCCCCCAGUAACUGCGAGUGAAGAGGGAAGAGCUCAUCAUUGGAAUCUGGCAGUGUUUUCACUGUCCGAGUUGUAGAUGAGGAGUAGUCCAUCUGGACUGCAUGGCGUCCAAGUACAAUAGGCCGUCAGUG
rnacentral:misc_RNA from 1 species